AACGCAAGUUGCGCCCCAAGCCUUCUGGCCGAGGGCACGUCUGCCUGGGUGUCACAAAUCGUCGUCCCCCCAUCCUCUCGAGGAUAUAGGACGGAAGCUGGUCUCCCGUGUGUUACCGCACGCGGUUGGCCAAAAUCCGAGCUAAGGAUGCCAGGAGCGUCUUGACAUGCGGUGGUGAAUUCAAUCUCCUCGUCAUAUCGUCGGUCGUUCCGGUCCAAAAGCUCUCGAUGACCCAAAGUCCUCAACGCGACCCCAGGUCAGGCGGGAUCACCCGCUGAGUUUAA
rnacentral:misc_RNA from 1 species